AGAGUUUGAUUCCUGGCUCAGGAUGAACGCUAGCGGCAGGCCUAAUACAUGCAAGUCGAACGGUAACAUGAGAGCUUGCUCUUGAUGACGAGUGGCGCACGGGUGCGUAACGCGUAUGCAACCUACCCUUUACUGGGGGAUAGCCCGGAGAAAUCCGGAUUAAUACCCCAUGGUACUGUAAUAUAGCAUUAUAUAGCAGUUAAAGAUUUAUUGGUAAAGGAUGGGCAUGCGUGACAUUAGUUAGUUGGUAAGGUAACGGCUUACCAAGACGAUGAUGUCUAGGGGUUCUGAGAGGAAGGUCCCCCACACUGGUACUGAGACACGGACCAGACUCCUACGGGAGGCAGCAGUAGGGAAUAUUGGUCAAUGGACGCAAGUCUGAACCAGCCAUGCCGCGUGCAGGAUGACAGCUUUCUGAGUUGUAAACUGCUUUUAUAUAGGAACAAAGAGGCCAUGCGUGGCAAGUUGCGUGUACUAUAUGAAUAAGCACCGGCUAACUCCGUGCCAGCAGCCGCGGUAAUACGGAGGGUGCAAGCGUUAAUCGGAAUUACUGGGCGUAAAGCGAGUGUAGGCGGCAACGUAAGUCGGAUGUGAAAGCCCUGGGCUCAACCUGGGAAUUGCAUUCGAAACUGCGUAGCUAGAGUUUGACAGAGGAAUGUGGAAUUCCGGGUGUAGCGGUGAAAUGCGUAGAUAUCCGGA
rnacentral:rRNA from 1 species